rnacentral:rRNA from 1 species
ACGGGUGAGUAACACGUGGGUGAUCUGCCCUGCACUUUGGGAUAAGCCUGGGAAACUGGGUCUAAUACCGGAUAGGACCAUGGACUUCACGGUUUGUGGUGGAAAGCUUUUGCGGUGUGGGAUGGGCCCGCGGCCUAUCAGCUUGUUGGUGGGGUAAUGGCCUACCAAGGCGACGACGGGUAGCCGGCCUGAGAGGGUGUCCGGCCACACUGGGACUGAGAUACGGCCCAGACUCCUACGGGAGGCAGCAGUGGGGAAUAUUGCACAAUGGGCGCAAGCCUGAUGCAGCGACGCCGCGUGGGGGAUGACGGCCUUCGGGUUGUAAACCUCUUUCAGUAGGGACGAAGCGCAAGUGACGGUACCUACAGAAGAAGCACCGGCCAACUACGUGCCAGCAGCCGCGGUAAUACGUAGGGUGCGAGCGUUGUCCGGAAUUACUGGGCGUAAAGAGCUCGUAGGUGGUUUGUCGCGUUGUUCGUGAAAUCCCACAACUUAAUUGUGGGCGUGCGGGCGAUACGGGCAGACUGGAGUACUGCAGGGGAGACUGGAAUUCCUGGUGUAGCGGUGGAAUGCGCAGA